rnacentral:rRNA from 1 species
UACGGAGGAUCCAAGCGUUAUCCGGAAUCAUUGGGUUUAAAGGGUCCGUAGGCGGUUUUGUAAGUCAGUGGUGAAAGCCCAUCGCUCAACGGUGGAACGGCCAUUGAUACUGCAAGACUUGAAUUAUUGGGAAGUAACUAGAAUAUGUAGUGUAGCGGUGAAAUGCUUAGAGAUUACAUGGAAUACCAAUUGCGAAGGCAGGUUACUACCA